rnacentral:tRNA from 1 species
GCGCUGGUGGCUCAGUGGUAGAACUUUUGCUUGCUAUGCAUGAGACCCUGGUUUGAUCCCAGCCGGUGCG